AUGCUGAGGAAAAAAUGGCCAGGAAAUCCUAGUUGUUCUUUCUGCAAGGAUAUUGAGAGCUCUCAACACCUUUUCUUUACUUGCCCUGUGACUAAGUGUGUUUGGCGCUCCAUUGGGGUGUCACUGGGGACUGAUAAAUGCCCCAAUAAUUACUGGCAACUUUUCGCUUGGUGCUAUACUUUUUGCCCUGGUGGAGAGAAGUUUUAUACAGUGGGACUUGCGGCUGCUUGCUGGGCAAUUUGGCUUGCCCGAAACCGUGCGACCUUUGAGAAGAAGCUGAUCAAAACACCUUUUGAGAUAGUUUUUUCCAUGUGUUCGUUCUUGCUUUACUGGACAAGGUUACAACAGGGGGAGACGCUGAAGAGCUGCAGGCAGGAGCUGAUGCUAUCAGGGCAAACACGAUGCAGCUGA
rnacentral:rRNA from 1 species